GAUGAACGCUGGCGGCGUGCCUAAUACAUGCAAGUCGAGCGAACGGACGAGAAGCUUGCUUCUCUGAUGUUAGCGGCGGACGGGUGAGUAACACGUGGAUAACCUACCUAUAAGACUGGGAUGACUUCGGGAAACCGUAGCUAAUACCGGAUAAUAUUUUGAACCGCAUGGUUCAAAAGUGAAAGACGGUCUUGCUGUCACUUAUAGAUGGAUCCGCGCUGCAUUAGCUAGUUGGUAAGGUAACGGCUUACCAAGGCAACGAUGCAUAGCCGACCUGAGGGGGUGAUCGGCCACACUGGAACUGAGACACGGUCCAGACUCCUACGGGAGGCAGCAGUAGGGAAUCUUCCGCAAUGGGCGAAAGCCUGACGGAGCAACGCCGCGUGAGUGAUGAAGGUCUUCGGAUCGUAAAACUCUGUUAUUAGGGAAGAACAUAUGUGUAAGUAACUGUGCACAUCUUGACGGUACCUAAUCAGAAAGCCACGGCUAACUACGUG
rnacentral:rRNA from 1 species